rnacentral:misc_RNA from 1 species
AAGUCGUAACAAGGUAUCUGUAGGUGAACCUGCAGAUGGAUCAUUUCGAUGAAAACCUUUUUUCUGAGGUGUGGCUCGCACCUGUCUAACUAAACUUGAGCUACCUUUUUCAACACGGUUGCAUCGGUGGAGUGGCGAACGCGCGUUCUUGGACGUGUGAGCUCGCCCUUCACACUUUACACAAACACUUUUGAUCUUCUAGGAUUUGAAUGACAAUUUAUGACUGGUAAUUCGGUCGUUUAAAUUUAAAAACAACUUUUGGCAACGGAUCUCUUGGUUCUCC